rnacentral:rRNA from 1 species
AUUGAACGCUGGCGGCAGGCUUAACACAUGCAAGUCGAGCGGAGUGAUGGUGCUUGCACUAUCACUUAGCGGCGGACGGGUGAGUAAUGCUUAGGAAUCUGCCUAUUAGUGGGGGACAACAUCUCGAAAGGGAUGCUAAUGCCGCAUACGUCCUACGGGAGAAAGCAGGGGAUCACUUGUGACCUUGCGCUAAUAGAUGAGCCUAAGUCGGAUUAGCUAGUUGGUGGGGUAAAGGCCUACCAAGGCGACGAUCUGUAGCGGGUCUGAGAGGAUGAUCCGCCACACUGGGACUGAGACACGGCCCAGACUCCUACGGGAGGCAGCAGUGGGGAAUAUUGGACAAUGGGGGGAACCCUGAUCCAGCCAUGCCGCGUGUGUGAAGAAGGCCUUAUGGUUGUAAAGCACUUUAAGCGAGGAGGAGGCUCUUCUGGUUAAUACCCAAGAUGAGUGGACGUUACUCGCAGAAUAAGCACCGGCUAACUCUGUGCCAGCCGCCGCGGUAA